rnacentral:lncRNA from 1 species
AAAAGUUGUGUGAUACCUGAGGUCAGCAGUGCCACAGGGGGUGCCGCUUUAGCUGACCCAUGCUGUGCCAUCCCUAUUUUCCAGCCAGUGCCUGAAGAUGUCAAGUUCUGCCCUAAAAAACAAGCAGAGCUUUUCCAGGAGCCACUUACAAGCAAGCAGAAGUCCACGGAAGUCAGAGUGUGCUGGAGUCAACAAGGAGAAUUGGGGCCUGAUUGCAGAAAGUGUGCAAAACAUGGGAGGAACAUGAAAGAGGCUGUUUUGCCAGGAACAUUAAGCCAUUACUCUAUAUUGCUACAUGCACUACUUGGGGUCUAA